UGUUGAUUUUAGUAUAUUCUCCAUGGCGAGAUUUUGCUUUUUUGCUUGUUUCCUUAAUUGCUGGGGAUGGUAUUUAUAUAUAUAGGUUCUCCUUUGUCAAUACCUAUUGGAAUUAUUCAUUGAGCUUUGGUUUUAUAAUAGUAUAACUUUGUAGAAAUUCUGUUUUUCUUUAAUGGUGCCUCUUCUUUCCAUUGUUGUUCUUUGCUCUUGGUGUACGACUAUUUCUUCAGAUGUCUUUAUAAUUGCAAUCUAAUUAAAAUGUAGACCUCCGAUUUCGUUAUACUACAUAUGAGCUCAUAUGUAGUAUAACGAAAUCGGAGAUCUAUAUAUUUUAAUUAGAUUGUAAUAGUUGGUGCUGAUUUCUUCUAUGGAUUUUUUUUAUAGCUUGUCUGACCUACAAUAGUGUGUGUGGUUUUUUUUUUAAACCUUUGUCUAGCCAUAUCUCUUUUUUUUUUCAUUUUCGUACGUCUAUUUGUGAGCUUUUUGUAUCUGAUUGUUUUCAUAUUCCCCCUUGAGUCAUGUUUAUCAGUCCUCAUUUUUCUAUAAAGUGUUAUGUAUAGUUAUCUUUUUUUUUUAUACUUGCUUCAAAUAGAUCAUCAUGCUGUGUUUAAAAAUGUGUUGAAAAGGGGCCAAGUUUUAAUGUAUCUUGACUACUUCUGUUCGUUGCCAACUUUUAGCCUUUAUAAAUAAGCCUCUAAAUAUAGUCUCUGUUGUUUGUAAAU
rnacentral:lncRNA from 1 species